rnacentral:lncRNA from 1 species
AUCUUUCCCUCUAGGCCUUAAGCUGCCAUUUAUGCCUGCCCACUACCUUCAUCCACUGUCAAAUAAUACAACAAAGGUUAUGCUUUUUUGCUUUUGGUUGUUAAUAUUGAGUAAAUUGCCACGCAGAGUACAUACACCGGACAAGAAAUUCAUGGAGUCAUUUCCUAAGGAGGAAAAGCAGACUUUUUUUGGUAAGUACUAACAAGUGAAAGGGCAUGGUCCACAUUGGCUGUGAUAAGUAAGAACUAAGAACUAGCCAUGUAGUAGAGAUGAGUCAUGUCUGUGCUCAAUGGGUUCAAAACAAGUUCCACUGGUGACGAGCCAGAAAAGAAUCUUCAGUUAGAUUCAGGUAAGUGUUUCUUAAAGUUCAUGGUUCUUUAAGAGCAUUAAGGUCAGAGCAGUUGUAGAGACACACAACCUUAGGUUUGAUUCUCAGCCAGGCAAGUACUCCUGGAAAUUUACUUCUUUGUUUUUACCACCCACUUUCCACACAGAAUUCCCUUGACAACAGAAAAAGGGUAGUGAUACAAACUAUUUUUCUUGCUUUUCUAGAAAGUAGAACAAUGACAAAGAAAAGAUUAAUAAUCUUACAUUAAAGUCAACAGAGUAGCUUAACAAUACCCCUAAGGUGCCUUUGUUUCUGAUACGAUUUGGUGGGGUUAUUAACAACAUAUCAACUGAAAUUAUGUAUUAGCUAAGAUAGAAUUUGCAGGAGCAAGAAAUGACAUAUUAAGCUGAGAAAUGCACAUUAAAAAUAGGGCUUAGAAGCUCUACAUCAGUGCCUUUUGUUUUAAAAGGUCCUUUAUCUUUCUCCAGCAUACCAAACAAUGGACCUUUCUAAGACUUGACUGUCAUCUUUGCAACAAAGUUUUCAUUAUUCCUCCAAACUAUUCCAAUACUACAUAGCACUUAAUAUAUUCAAUUCACAUGUAAUAAUUUUGAAUUCAUGAAGGAUAUAAUAAAAAUUAGAUGUACCAGUAAAAUAUAACAAAACUUUUAAUUUAUUGUUAUUAUUGUUUAUGUUAUUUUUAUGACUCCCUUUGCUUUCCUUCUCUUCUGGGGGGAAUCUGCUUCUACUAUAUUUUCCAGAAUCUUUGAGAAUUAACAUACUCUUCUCCCAGGGGAUGUUCCACAAUUAUUUGCGCUGUGACUAUCUGAAGGUAACACAAUGCUGGUAGAUUGGACAGGACUUGCCAGAAUGUUGAAUAUUUGCUUUUACACCAUGUACAUUGAAACUUGAGCUCUUAUUAGCAACACCUGAUAUCACAUGAUAAAAACUUUUGUGCUAAUUCAGGGAACUCUGUGGCUAAGAAGUUAGGUAAUAAUAGUUCUGGGUAGGGCUUGCCUCAUGUUUCCUUUGUUUUAGGCAUUGAAAUAAAGUAUAAUACUGUCUUGCUGAAGAAACAGAACCUGAGUUACAGGAUGGUGGAAAUAUCUUUUCACUUUCUCAUCUUGGGAGUCUUCAUAGCUAGCAUAUUAUACUCAUACAUGCCUCUCAGAUAAUGUCAAGGAACCGUGGAAAAUGGUGUUUAAUGCUGUUGCAAAAAUGGCAUCAUAUUUGUUAAAUCAAAUUAUUUACUAAUCGAGAGAGACAAGUUUUCUAGGAUUCUAAGGGUUUUUUUUGUUGUUGUUGUUUUUGUUUUAAAUUCUACAUGUCUCUGGCUUCCUAUUGUCAAAGUUUCCUGAUUCCUUUAUUAUAUCUCUGAAUGACCUCAGAAUUGAUCUUGAUAACCAGAUGAGCAAGGAAGCAUUCAAUUUAUAUUUCUAAAAUGAUCCAUUUUAAAGUAGCAGUGAAUUUUUUUAAGUGACAAUUUUUUCCUUCAAUUUUUUUACUUACAUGUGAUUUUAAAAUUUUAUACAAAACUCAGAAGUCAGAUGUUUAAAUUACUCUGUAGUUAUCCAUGACAUGUAAGCAUUAAUACUGGAUUUGGAUUAUAAACUAUGGACAUGUAAGUAGGUUCUUAUGAAAAUAUACUAUAGAUUGUCUGACUGAAAAGAAUGCCUUUAAAAAACCAUGAGAAAAAAAAAAAAAA